GUUGCAGUUGCAGCCGGCCGGAUGGAGGUCAAAUAGUAGGAAGCAUUUACUGCCCGGGGCAGAGUGGUGCGGUCUCUAGUUUCCUCUUGCGGUUUGGUAGAAAGAGAACAGAAGCUGUUGAGUUGCCGUUGACCUCAGGCCUUAAAGAAAGCUGCUGCAGCUCCAGGCAUCACAUCUUCCCAUUAAUGACCCAAGCAGAAAGGAAGGGAGCAACGAGGGCUUUCUUCUGUUGAUGCUCCGUCCCCAGGGUUUUUGUUUAUUUUUUGGCUGUGCCUCAUAGCAUAUGGGAUCUUAGUUCCCCGACCAGGGAUUGAACCUGUGCCCCAUGCAGUGGGAGCGCAGUCUCAACCACUGGACCACCAGGGAAGUCUCCUUCUCUUCUUUUAAAAAAUAAUUUUUUUGAGGCAUAAUUUACAUACCACAAAAAUCACUCGUUUUAAGUGCACAAUUCUCAGUUAUAAAAAUGAUUCUAGAGAGACAGGUGGGGAACCGUGGAGAGUAGAAGAGGUGGACAGUCUAGGUAGAUGGAUUGAAAAUAGAGAUCAUGGAAUUCCCUGGCAGUCCAGUGGUUAGGACUCCGUGAUCUCACUGCCGAGGGCCUGGAUUCCAUCCCUGAUCAGGGAACUAAGAUCCCGAAAGCCACACGGCACAGCCGAAAAAAAAACAAGAAAAGAAAAUAGAGAUCAAAGGAGAAGAUGGAGAGAAGAAAUGGUGCAGAUCUGAGAAGACAGAAUAGGGUAUCCAGGAGGGACUGAUAGGUGAUUCUCUCACCUGCACAUCGAGCUCCUGGCUUCGAGGGUCUUGCAGGAAGAACCGGAAGGCCUCCUCCCACACCGGGCCGUUGGUGUUAUAGACAGCCUGGAGAUGUGCAGGAUGUGAUCAAGUGAAGGAAGGCGGGCUGUCAUCAGAAUCCUUCCCCUGGGGCUUCCCUGGUGGCGCAGUGGUUAAGAAUCCGCCUGCCCGGGACUUCCCUGGUGGCGCAGUGGUUAAGAAUCUGCCUGCCAAUGCAGGGGACACGGGUUUGAGCCCUGGGGCGGGAAGAUCCCACAUGCUGCAGAGCAACUAAGCCCGUGCACCGCAACUACUGAGCUUGCGCUCUAGAGCCCGCGAGCCACAACUACUGAGCCUGUGCACCUAGAGCCUGUGCUCCGCAACAAGAGAAGCCACCACAAUGAGAAGCCCGUGCAGCGCAACGAAGAGUAGCCCCCGCUCGCCGCAACUAGACAAAGCUCGUGCACAGCAACAAAGACCCAAUGCAGCCACAAAUAAAUAAAUUAAAUAAAUAAAGAUUAUAAGAGAAUAUUAUGAACAACUUUAUACAAAUAGUUAGAAAACAUCGAUUAAAUAGAUAAUUUA